rnacentral:snoRNA from 1 species
UGAUGGCUGCUUCUCUCACUGCUUGGAGCCUUAAGUAGUGGGAUUUUUUUAGCUUGUCAUAUAUCUAAGCUGACUUAUUUUCACUCAGGGCAUCAUGGGGAUCUGGUGGCUAUCUGUUAGUGCCUUCUGAUUUUUGCAGAGUCAAACAAUU